AUACGGCCGGCUGGCUGGCUGUUAGGAGGUUAAACUGGCAAGAUGACAGACUGUUCAGUUGCAGCUGGUGGGGCCGGCUGCUCUGGGCUCUGUUGAUAACAAUCAGCCGACUGGAGUCUCAGAGGUCGUCCCCAUCGGACAACCGCCGGCCUCCCUGGAACACACCCACACGGGACGGCGUGGCAAAGUUGGGAGAGUGCCAGCAAUCUGAGGGUUACUGGUUCAAUCCCCACCAUUUACCAUCCUUGUCACAUCCGGUGUCGUUGAGCAAGACACUUCACCCUUGCUCCUGAUGGAACCUGGGAAGGGAAAGAGACAAAGAGGAGUGAGAUCUCCGGGACACCAAAUGUGGCUUUGCAAGGCAACAAUCAGCGGCGGCGGGGGAAAAACUCGAAAUUUUCGAGGUUUUAAUUGUAGGGUGAAGUGCAGUCAUCAUACUUACAUAUUAAUA